UCCUGUUAUGGUGGCUGGUGCUUGUAGUGUAAUUUGUCCGGUAAAUUGCGUCUGUAAACGUAUUCAGAGUGAACGUGGACGUGCUGUGUUUGCUGAUUUAGACUCGACACCCUCACUGUGUCUACGAGAGCAGAAACAACAGACAGACGUCAGGACUCCUUAGAUAGGGGAUCAGCCCAUCUCAAGGCCGCUACCUACACCGGAUAACACAAACACAACCUCGGGAGACCUCUACAUGCCGGACCGGUGGCUGGAAGUCAUUGUGAGCAUAUGGGAGGCCCUGCUACUGGCCAUCUCGACACAGGAUCUCGUGGUUUUCCUCUGGCUUCAAGCGAAUGCUGAGAAGGUUCGCAAGUUCCGAGCUGCUAGUGCCCACUUCUGUUGCAGCCCUCACGAUAUGGACAAGAAAAAUCGAAACUGCUCCUGUAUAAAGGCCAUUAAAUUAUCUCUCUGUAUGACGUAACUGGGGGCUGCUCCCCGGCGCGGGAAUCUCACCGUACCGACGCCCUCUCGACGUGGUGCUUAAUAAAGCACACGGGCUUCACGAAUUACGGACACGCAUGCGUUGGCCUGCACGCCCCACCGUCUCCUUGUCCCUCGAGACUUUAUACACUUGCCUUGUCUUGUUAGUUCGUUAAUUAAAUUGUGAUUAAUUGGGUUUGGUUGCGGGUUUGGGGAGCGUUCCUCUGAAGCAGCAGCAGAGACCGCGAGCAGACGUCGGGAAACGAACCGAGCAAGCCUUCAUUCAGUUCUGUGUGGUUUUCCUCAGUCUCUCAAGGCAAAUGCCGGGAUAGUAGCCCGACCACUUCGUUUCAAAUCAUCACUCAUCGUACUGUUCAAUACUGUAAUGUUCAGACAGUAACGGACUCAGCAAAUAAACUUAUAUUGAUUUGUUUCUGUGGACAAGUGAGCACAGUGCAGCGGGCCGCACAGAACAGAGACAGAAAUCGGGGAGUAUUAUAGUGCCGUGUAGUCUGUCAGCAAACUGCUUGCUACCAGCUUCACAUUGGUUUCAUUCAUGGCUUACUCUUCAGCCCUGAAGAUGGAGGUAGCAUGAUACUGUUAUAUCCCAGAAGACAGAACUCUUCAAGAAAGUGAGUUACAGAGCAUCCAUAAUGGAUAAUUUAAUUUUCUGUUUUAGUGAAAUAUACUGUAAAACCUUCCAUAUUCAGCCAUAAAACCACUUUGCCUUUUGAAGUCAUUUUUUUCAUGUGUUGAACAAAGUUGUGCCAUUACUCAGCAAUGAAAUGAACUGAUGAAGGUUACAAUCAUCUGGGAUAUGACGCCAUUUAGCCUGGUAGAAGUAUACUGAUGUUUCAGAAGAAUAUGUAUAAACUUCUGUGAGAGUACAUGGCAUCUCAUUGCAAAAAAUAGCAUACUUAUAGUUGCCAUUGUCAUAACCGCAGAUUUAACAAUUUAACUAAUUUUAUUGUAUCAUAUGGAAUAGAUUUAAUGGUUUCUUAUUGUGCAUAAUGUUAUUAUUUGACACCAUUUUUUAUUUUUAUCAAGUGGGUCUGAGCUCAUCAAUGAGUAACUUUUUAUUUGGUGGUAGAUGAUCUGUGUGUAGUAAUUAUUUUCUAUGGUAAGUUAUGUAAUCUGUAUUUUACUACUUUGUGUUUGUUAUGCAAAAUUUAUGUACUAAUUCAAGUAACAUAAUUAUCCUUCCUUGCUUUUCUGAGUUUAAAUAAAUUUCAUUGGAAUGAGGUACGAGGAAUGUAGAAAGAGACAAAGAAAAAGUUUGAUGCA